rnacentral:tRNA from 2 species
UCCGAUAUGGUGUAGUGGUCAACAUUCGGCACUCUCAAGCGUGAGUAGUUGCUGGGCCCGGGGUUCGAUUCCCCGUAUCGGAA